CAGGGGGAAGAGGAAAGGGGUAUUGCGGCUCAGCCCACUUUAACCUUUGUCGGGGAUGGGGGGGAAAUGUAGAUUCUGAGAUAGUUAUCAGGUCUUUACUGUUCCCCAUGCCUACAGAACUUGAUGGACGGGUUACACUUUACGGCAGCAUGUGUUUUAAUCGGUUUCGCGAGGAGGGGAUCAUUUUCCACCACCCCCUUGUUUUGUUGAAGGUUCCCGGCUUCUGACGUAAUUGAGCUGUUACCAGCCUACUGAGUUUCUCCAGCAUUCUCUGUUGGGGAAAUACACCGACGAGCUUCCAUCUUCUUAAAAGAAGGUAACGUCGAGAAAGCAGAGCCCAGGGGAAGGCAAUUUGAAAUGAAUCAUCUCCUAGAGGCUUCUUCCUCGAUGCCGCGUUCUAUCCUCAUGUCCCGAGGACUCCAAAUUCUAUUGUUUGUAGUAACCGAGUGAGUUGCUAGGAGCGGCGGAGAGCCCAGUUAUUGACACUUCGAGAAAAAAAAACAUUUUCACCAAAGCGAUGGGUGUGGGACCAACACGUGCCUCUUGAAUAAGUGUAGCGUUGACCUCCGGUCAAAUUGAAAGUAGAGCGAAUAUUGCACACUCUGGCCGUCAGCUGAAUGGAUUGUCUUUGCUAAAAAGUGAUAAGCCAAAAAAAAAAGACAAAUUCAACAAGGCAGGAUGGAUGUGCCUGGACACCUUAAGCCCAUUCCCGAUUUUCAAUGAUUGGACUUAUUCUUACAUAGAUCUCCAGCGUUUGCUAUAUUCAUAACAGCAUCUGUACUGGAGAGAAGUGGUAUUCUCCAAUCCUUCCACUUCCCAAACUCUGAAAAUCCAAUUAAUUUAUGAAGCAAGAUUUGCAUUCACAUAUUGUUGCAAUCCCGGUAAAAACUAAUAACUUAAAAAGAUGGAAAUAUUUCAGUUGGCUGACACAAGGGAGUGGCACAACAACAACACUUCCGGUUUUAAGACUGUUACAGUUAAAAAAAGACAUUUUAAUUGCUUGCAAGUAAUACACUAAGGUAUUCCCCAUUGACUUCUGAACACAGCCAACAACCUUAUGUCAUGUCUGUACAGCACAUUUGUGAUGCUGGUGCUCCUUUAACAAGGUUAUGUUGUACUGGGUCUUUUAUUCAGCGAUUGUAAAAGUAUAGAUUCCGUUGUCUGGGUUUACCUACUUGACCAAGCUUUUAAGUGUUUAAACAAACACUUGUACAAUGAAAGGGGACUGGCCAGUUCUGCCAGCUCAGCGUUUCUCUGGUUUGGUUUGGUUUUCAGCAGUCUGGCUGUUUGUCAGUUUUUUGAAGCAGCUCCCUGCCAUAUCCAGCUCUAGUAAGAUCCUGUGUUUGAUUUUAGCUUUUUUUGCUUAUGGGGAUUGUGACAGGAGUUUGGAACAGUAAGUUGGGUUAGUUUGUUGGGUUUUAAGUAGUUAAGUUAUUCUAUAUUCUGUUCUCUUGUGUAAUCUUGCAAAUAAAUUCUGUUUUGUUUAAAACUAAGUGGUUAGGCCAUCUGCAUCACUCAUGGAAUAUCCACUCUACACUUGCUCAAAACACCUAGAAAAGUAAGGGUAUGGGUUACCUUCUUGAAGUGAGGGGGUCUGGUCUUGUCCAUAACAGACUGGGGGCUCUUUGCAGGAUUUGUUCUAUAGUUCCAUUUUGGGAUGAGGGCUGUUGGACUCAAAGGUGGUAGGUGUUAGUGUCUUUUGUUCUGGGUAUUGACUUUGGUUGGUUUAAACAGUGUUUUUGGGAUAGCAAUGUCUCUUACAGUCAUUAAGAGUUUUCUGCGGUUGGAAGAAGUGACUUUGGGGGUUUUAUAGAAAAGGUGAUUAAGGCCAAGCUGCUGCAUUUAGCAGACAAACUGGAGUUGGAGCUACUUCCUUCUCUGAGGAAAGGAGAGAUAAUUACAGCAGUAGCUCAGCAUUUAAAUUUGCUGAAAGUGCCAUCAGAAUCUUU